AGAGUUUGAUCCUGGCUCAGGAUGAACGCUGGCGGUAUGCUUAACACAUGCAAGUCGAACGAAAGUUUUUAACUUUAGUGGCGAACGGGUGCGUAAUACGUGAGAAUCUGCCCUUAGGAGGAGGAUAACUGCUGGAAACGGCUGCUAACACUCCAUAUGUCGAGAGAUGAAAUAAUUUAUUGCCUAAGGAUGAGCUCGCGCCUGAUUAGCUAGUUGGUGAGGUAAUGGCUCACCAAGGCCACGAUCAGUAGCUGGUUUGAGAGAACGAUCAGCCACACUGGGACUGAGACACGGCCCAGACUCCUCCGGGAGGCAGCAGUGAGGAAUUUUCCGCAAUGGGCGAAAGCCUGACGGAGCAAUACCGCGUGAGGGAUGAAGGAUUUUGGUCUGUAAACCUCUUUUCUCAAGAAAGAAGUUCUGACGGUACUUGAGGAAUAAGCAUCGGCUAACUCCGUGCCAGCAGCCGCGGUAAUACGGGGGAUGCAAGCGUUAUCCGGAAUCAUUGGGCGUAAAGCGCCUGUAGGUUGUUUAAUAAGUCUGUUGUUAAAGACUAGGGCUCAACCCUAGAAAAGCAAUGGAAACUACUAGACUAGAGUAUGGCAGGGGUAGAGGGAAUUUCUAGUGUAGCGGUGAAAUGCGUAGAUAUUAGAAAGAACACCGGUGGCGAAAGCGCUCUACUGGACCAUUACUGACACUCAGAGGCGAAAGCUAGGGUAGCAAAAGGGAUUAGAUACCCCUGUAGUCCUAGCCGUAAACGAUGGAUACUAGAUGUUGUGCAU
rnacentral:rRNA from 1 species